GAUGAACGCUGGCGGCGUGCCUAAUACAUGCAAGUCGAGCGAACGGACGAGAAGCUUGCUUCUCUGAUGUUAGCGGCGGACGGGUGAGUAACACGUGGAUAACCUACCUAUAAGACUGGGAUAACGUCGGGAAACCGGAGCCAAUACCGGAUAAUAUUUUGAACCGCAUGGUUCAAAAGUGAAAGACGGUCUUGCUGUCACUUAUAGAUGUAUCCGCGCUGCAUUAGCUAGUUGGUAAGGUAACGGCUUACCAAGGCAACGAUGCAUAGCCGACCUGAGAGGGUGAUCGGCCACACUGGAACUGAGAGACGGUCCAGACUCCUACGGGAGGCAGCAGUAGGGACUCUUCCGCAAUGGGCGAAAGCCUGACGGAGCAACGCCGCGUGAGUGAUGAAGGUCUUCGGAUCGUAAAACUCUGUUAUUAGGGAAGACCAUAUGUGUAAGUAACUGUGCACAUCUUGACGGUACCUAAUCAGAAAGCCACGGCUAACUACGUG
rnacentral:rRNA from 1 species